UACGAAGGGGGCUAGCGUUGUUCGGAAUCACUGGGCGUAAAGCGCACGCAGGCGGAUUGAUAAGUCAGGGGUGAAAUCCCGGAGCUCAACUUCGGAAUUGCCUUUGAUACUGUCUGUCUUGAGUCCGGGAGAGGUGAGUGGAAUUCCUAGUGUAGAGGUGAAAUUCGUAGAUAUUAGGAAGAACACCAGUGGCGAAGGCGGCUCACUGGCCCGGAACUGACGCUCAUGUGCGAAAGCGUGGGGAGCAAACAGGAUUAGAUACCCCCGUAGUCC
rnacentral:rRNA from 1 species